rnacentral:rRNA from 1 species
UACGGAGGGUGCAAGCGUUAUCCGGAUUCACUGGGUUUAAAGGGUGCGUAGGUGGGUUGGUAAGUCAGUGGUGAAAUCUCCAGGCUUAACUUGGAAACUGCCAUUGAUACUAUCAAUCUUGAAUACCGUGGAGGUCAGCGGAAUAUGUCAUGUAGCGGUGAAAUGCUUAGAUAUGACAUAGAACACCAAUUGCGAAGGCAGCUUGCUACACUACUAUUGACACUGAGGCACGAAAGCGUGGGGAUCAAACAGG